UACAGAGGUCCCGAGCGUUGUUCGGAUUCAUUGGGCGUAAAGGGUGCGUAGGCGGCGGGGCAAGUCUGAUGUGAAAUCCCGGGGCUCAACCCCGGAACCGCAUUGGAUACUGCCUUGCUAGAGUACUGGAGAGGGAACUGGAAUUUACGGUGUAGCAGUGAAAUGCGUAGAGAUCGUAAGGAAGGCCAGUGGCGAAGGCGAGUUCCUGGACAGUUACUGACGCUGAGGCACGAAGGCCAGGGGAGCAAACGGG
rnacentral:rRNA from 1 species